AUUGAACGCUGGCGGCAGGCCUAACACAUGCAAGUCGAACGGUAGCACAGAGAGCUUGCUCUCGGGUGACGAGUGGCGGACGGGUGAGUAAUGUCUGGGAAACUGCCUGAUGGAGGGGGAUAACUACUGGAAACGGUAGCUAAUACCGCAUAACGUCGCAAGACCAAAGAGGGGGACCUUCGGGCCUCUUGCCAUCAGAUGUGCCCAGAUGGGAUUAGCUAGUAGGUGGGGUAACGGCUCACCUAGGCGACGAUCCCUAGCUGGUCUGAGAGGAUGACCAGCCACACUGGAACUGAGACACGGUCCAGACUCCUACGGGAGGCAGCAGUGGGGAAUAUUGCACAAUGGGCGCAAGCCUGAUGCAGCCAUGCCGCGUGUAUGAAGAAGGCCUUCGGGUUGUAAAGUACUCUUCAGCGGGGAGGAAGGUGUUGUGGUUAAUAACCGCAGCAAUUGACGUUACCCGCAGAAGAAGCACCGGCUAACUCCGUGCCAGCAGCCGCGGUAAUACGGAGGGUGCAAGCGUUAAUCGGAAUUACUGGGCGUAAAGCGCACGCAGGCGGUCUGUCAAGUCGGAUGUGAAAUCCCCGGGCUCAACCUGGGAACUGCAUUCGAAACUGGCAGGCUAGAGUCUUGUAGAGGGGGGUAGAAUUCCAGGUGUAGCGGUGAAAUGCGUAGAGAUCUGGAGGAAUACCGGUGGCGAAGGCGGCCCCCUGGACAAAGACUGACGCUCAGGUGCGAAAGCGUGGGGAGCAAACAGGAUUAGAUACCCUGGUAGUCCACGCCGUAAACGAUGUCGACUUGGAGGUUGUGCCCUUGAGGCGUGGCUUCCGGAGCUAACGCGUUAAGUCGACCGCCUGGGGAGUACGGCCGCAAGGUUAAAACUCAAAUGAAUUGACGGGGGCCCGCACAAGCGGUGGAGCAUGUGGUUUAAUUCGAUGCAACGCGAAGAACCUUACCUACUCUUGACAUCCAGAGAACUUUCCAGAGAUGGAUUGGUGCCUUCGGGAACUCUGAGACAGGUGCUGCAUGGCUGUCGUCAGCUCGUGUUGUGAAAUGUUGGGUUAAGUCCCGCAACGAGCGCAACCCUUAUCCUUUGUUGCCAGCGGUCCGGCCGGGAACUCAAAGGAGACUGCCAGUGAUAAACUGGAGGAAGGUGGGGAUGACGUCAAGUCAUCAUGGCCCUUACGAGUAGGGCUACACACGUGCUACAAUGGCGCAUACAAAGAGAAGCGAACUCGCGAGAGCAAGCGGACCUCAUAAAGUGCGUCGUAGUCCGGAUUGGAGUCUGCAACUCGACUCCAUGAAGUCGGAAUCGCUAGUAAUCGUAGAUCAGAAUGCUACGGUGAAUACGUUCCCGGGCCUUGUACACACCGCCCGUCACACCAUGGGAGUGGGUUGCAAAAGAAGUAGGUAGCUUAACCUUCGGGAGGGCGCUUACCACUUUGUGAUUCAUGACUGGGGUGAAGUCGUAACAAGGUAACCGUAGGGGAACC
rnacentral:rRNA from 1 species